GUGGAUUAGAUACCCUGGUAGUCCACGCCGUAAACGAUGAUAACUAGCUGCUGGGGCACUUGGUGUUUCAGUGGCGCAGCUAACGCAUUAAGUUAUCCGCCUGGGGAGUACGGUCGCAAGAUUAAAACUCAAAGGAAUUGACGGGGGCCUGCACAAGCGGUGGAGCAUGUGGUUUAAUUCGAAGCAACGCGCAGAACCUUACCAGCGUUUGACAUCCUGAUCGCGGAUAGUGGAGACACUUUCCUUCAGUUCGGCUGGAUCAGUGACAGGUGCUGCACGGCCGUCGUCAGCU
rnacentral:rRNA from 1 species